rnacentral:lncRNA from 1 species
CUGGGGUUGGAUAUUGCUUAUUUUGGGGGGCUGUCCUGUGCAUUGCAGGAUGUUUAGCAGCAUCCCUGGCCUCUACUCAAUGCCAGUAGCUCCCUCCUCCCCAGUUGUAAAACCAAAAAUGCCUCCAGACAUUGACAAGUGUCCCCUGGAGGGCAAAAUCACCCCUGUUAGGGAACCACUGGUCUAGGAAAUAAGGCAUGUAACUAUAGGCCCCAAGCUGAAGUGGCAUUUCCCACAUGAUUUCCACACCCAGGGAUGGAGUGGGCAGCACUGAGAUGGAGAACUACAGGGCUUACAAAUUGGAGUGCCUUUGAAGGUCUUCUGACUCAGUGGUUUUUAAAAACCGAGUCAGUAAACCAAUAAAAGCUGAAUGCUUUAGGGGAGGUUUGGGGAUAUCUUCCCCUCCUGUUUCCUUCUCCCAGCCUCCCUUUUGCCCAUUGCUUCAGAAACUCAGGGCUCCAACAAACAGGGAUUGAAAACCAUGAACAACGCCUUCAGAUGAGGAGAACAAGGCCACGGAGAGGUCAGUCCAACAGCAAAUCCAGAGAGAGCCAGGAAUCAAGCAGAAAAAUGGCCUGGAAUGAUCACUUUACAGCCACCCUGGGAAUGAGGAGGAUGAUAGGACACUGGAGACUGGGCUCUAUGCCUCAGUGGCAGACGCAUCUAGAGGAAGCAUAAAGAAUGGAGUAGGGGCAGGAGAAAGGAUGGAUCGGGGAGUGGAAAUGAGACGGGGUUUCACCAUGUUGCCCAGGCUGGUCUCAAACUCCUGAGCUCAAAGCAGCCCAUCUGCCUUGGCCUCCCAAAGUGCUGAGAUUACAGGAGUGAGCCAUCCAGCAGAUUCAACAACUUUUGGCAAGUACUUUCAUAUCCUUUACACU